CUUAGAUCAUGUACGGGUGCAAGUGAGGGAGGAGGUAGGCAGAGACAACUGGCGGUAGACAGUUUAAGUGUGCACCAUAGGAAGAAGAGAGUGAUUGAUUCUGUUUGUCAUUGUAUGAAUCUGUGCUUGUGUGUCAGUGUUUGUGGAUGUGUGUGUGUAUCUGUGCUUGUGUGUCAAUCUACAUGUAUCUCUUCUGUGUGUAAAUGUGUCUGUG